AUGCAUGUUCACCGUCCAUUUGUAACUGUUGGUACCUGUGGGGACAUUGUGAUGACCCAGUCUCCAUCCUCGCUGGCUGUAUCAGCAGGAGAGAAGGUCACUAUGAGAUGCAAGACCAGUCAGAGUCUUUUACUGACUAGCAACCAAAAGAACUACUUAGCCUGGUACCAGCAGAAACCAUGGCAGUCCUCUAAACUGCUGAUAUCAUGGGCAUCCCCUGAGAAAUCUGGUGUCCCUGACCGCUUCACAGGUAGUGGAUCUGGGACAGAUUUCACUCUCACCAUCAGCAGUGUGCAGGCUGAAGACAUGGCAGUUUAUUACUGUUAUCAGUACUACAACUAUCCUCCCACAGUGAUUCAACCUCCUACACAAACCUCUUGA